rnacentral:rRNA from 1 species
CCUACGGGAGGCAGCAGUGGGGAAUUUUGGACAAUGGGCGCAAGCCUGAUCCAGCAAUGCCGCGUGAGUGAAGAAGGCCUUCGGGUUGUAAAGCUCUUUUGUCAGGGAAGAAACGGUCUACUCUAAUACAGUGGGCUAAUGACGGUACCUGAAGAAUAAGCACCGGCUAACUACGUGCCAGCAGCCGCGGUAAUACGUAGGGUGCAAGCGUUAAUCGGAAUUACUGGGCGUAAAGCGUGCGCAGGCGGUUAUAUAAGUCAGAUGUGAAAUCCCCGGGCUCAACCUGGGAACUGCAUUUGAGACUGUAUGGCUAGAGUGUGUCAGAGGGGGGUAGAAUUCCACGUGUAGCAGUGAAAUGCGUAGAUAUGUGGAGGAAUACCGAUGGCGAAGGCAGCCCCCUGGGAUAACACUGACGCUCAUGCACGAAAGCGUGGGGAGCAAACAGGAUUAGAUACCCUGGUAGUCCACGCCCUAAACGAUGUCUACUAGUUGUCGGGACUUAAUUGUNUUGUACGUCNGCACGCGUGAGUAGACGCCGUCGGAGGUACGGUCGCGAGAGUAAACGUAACGAAGUAGAGUAGUAGCGUGAGAGUAGACGACGGACGACGACGAGGGAGGAGG